CAGUAGCCGCGGGAAUACGAGGGGAGCUAGCGUUGUUCGGAAUUACUGGGCGUAAAGCGCGCGUAGGCGGCUUUUUAAGUCGGAGGUGAAAGCCCGGGGCUCAACCCCGGAAUUGCCUUUGAAACUGGAAAGCUAGAAUCUUGGAGAGGUCAGUGGAAUUCCGAGUGUAGAGGUGAAAUUCGUAGAUAUUCGGAAGAACACCAGUGGCGAAGGCGACUGACUGGACAAGAAUUGACGCUGAGGUGCGAAAGCGUGGGGAGCUAACAGGAUUAGAUACCCGUGUAGUCCCUGUCUCUUAUAC
rnacentral:rRNA from 1 species